rnacentral:sRNA from 1 species
GCGCUGUAGUCGCUCAAUGGAGAACUGGCGAGCCCAAGGCUCGUCCCUUCGCCCCGCUCGCGGGGAGAAGGUGCCGGCAUGCGGAUGAGGGGC